rnacentral:rRNA from 1 species
UACGGGGGGGGCAAGCGUUGUUCGGAAUUACUGGGCGUAAAGGGCUUGUAGGUGGCCAACUAAGUCAGACGUGAAAUCCCUCGGCUUAACCGGGGAACUGCGUCUGAUACUGGAUGGCUUGAGUGUGGGAGAGGGAUGCGGAAUUCCAGGUGUAGCGGUGAAAUGCGUAGAUAUCUGGAGGAACACCGGUGGCGAAGGCGGCAUCCUGGACCAAUUCUGACGCUGAGGAGCGAAAGCCAGGGGAGCAAACGGG